rnacentral:misc_RNA from 1 species
GAUGAAGAACGUAGCGAAAUGCGAUAAGUAGUGUGAAUUGCAGAAUUCAGUGAAUCAUCGAAUCUUUGAACGCACAUUGCGCCCUUUGGUAUUCCUUAGGGCAUGCCUGUUCGAGCGUCAUUUAAACCUUCAAGCUCAGCUUGGUGUUGGGUGACUGUCCGCUUCACCGCGGACUCGCCUCAAAAUUAUUGGCGGCCGGUACAUUGGCUCUCGAGCGCAGCAGAAACGCGUAACUCGAGGUCCUCGUGCUGGCUCCCAGAAGCUAUCUUCACAAUUUUGACCUCGGAUCAGGUAGGGAUACCCGCUGAACUUAAGCAUAUCAAUAAGGGAGGA